rnacentral:rRNA from 1 species
UACGGGGGGGGCAAGCGUUGUUCGGAAUUACUGGGCGUAAAGGGCUCGUAGGCGGCCAACUAAGUCGGACGUGAAAUCCCCAGGCUCAACCUGGGAACUGCGUCCGAUACUGGAUGGCUUGAAUUUGGGAGAGGGAUGCAGAAUUCCAGGUGUAGCGGUGAAAUGCGUAGAUAUCUGGAGGAAUACCGGUGGCGAAGGCGGCAUCCUGGACCGACAUUGACGCUGAGGAGCGAAAGCUAGGGGAGCAAACGGG